UACAGAGGUGGCAAGCGUUGUUCGGAAUUACUGGGCGUAAAGGGCGCGUAGGCGGUUUUGUAAGUCCCGUGUGAAAUCCCUCGGCUCAACUGAGGAAUCGCACGGGAAACUGCUUGGCUUGAGAUCGGGAGAGGUAAGCGGAAUUCCGGGUGUAGCGGUGAAAUGCGUAGAUAUCCGGAGGAACACCGGUGGCGAAGGCGGCUUCCUGGACCGACACUGACGCUGAGGCGCGAAAGCUAGGGGAGCAAACGGG
rnacentral:rRNA from 1 species